AACUCCCGAGGAAGUUUAAAAAAAAAAAAAUAACUUCCGUCAGCAUCAUUGCCUGCAAAAUGGAUGCCAUUCUUUUUGAGAUUAAGGAAUCCAGUGAACAAACACAAGUCAAUCACAUUUACUACGGAAAACAAUUACUCAAUUCAGCGAGAGGAAGAAUAACAUCUACCGGAGUUCUAGCCUUCCAUUCUGAAGGGGCAUGGAGAGGGGACGAGGUUUCUUCCUCAUCUCAGAUGGAUCCUUUGCAGAAUUCAUGCUAAUGAAGUAACCUGUGAAGCAAGAAAUUGGGAACUCCUAAAGGCUUCACUAGCCAGGACUAAGCACUUCAAGCAGGCAAAGGGGCAGAUACUCAGAAAACCAGUGAAGGCCGGGGGGACACCAACAGCGUUUCCAGGGUUGUGAGUUAAAAAGACUGGAAUUUACACCACUGGCUCCCCUGCUUCUCAGGCCUUCAGACUUGGAAUGAAUUACACCAUGGGCUUUCUUGAGUCUCCAAGAUGCAGAUGGCAGAUUACAAGCCUUCUCAGCCUCCAUGAUCACAUGGACAAUAUUGGAUAUUCCUUAUAAUCAAUCAAUCUACCUAUUUCUAUGUAUCUGUCUCUCUGUCUAUCUAAUCUUUCUCUCUUUGUCUCUCUCUCUCUCUCUCUAUCUAGCCAAUUAGAAAGCUAUUGUAAGUUAUUUCUUCCAUGAGUGGGGUGGGAUUGGAAGUUAGAGGGCACAACAAGAGGCCUAGACUCUAAAGACAGAAGGACAAGGAAGAAAAGAAAAAAAGAAAAAAAAAAAACCUUGCAGUAGAGACUGUCAUUUAUUACCUAAUACCCAUCCACUCCCCCCUCCUUAAAGACCAAACUUCUUUUUACCUGGGUGCUAAACAUUACAUUUCCUGGUCUCUCCUGCAGCUUGGCAUGACCAUGUGGCUAAGCUAGGCUCAAUACAAUGUAAAUAAAAAUGCUGAGUGGGACUUUUCCAGGAAGUUUUAUUGAAAGGCAUAGAUUGUCAGCAAGAGUUUGUUUUGCAUUUCUGCUUUUCUUCUCUUUCCUACCUUAAUGUGACAGCUGGACCUCCAGCAGCUAUUUUGGACCUUGAGGUGGCCUUGGAAACAAAAGCCAUCCAUGCACUGAAAAUGUCAGAGUGGAAAGAUCAGAGCAUGAAUUUGUAAGGACCACCUUGCUAGCCAGUAUUACAGUUACAUGACAGAGAAGUGAACCUCUACCUUGCCUAAGCAACUGAUUGCUUUGUGGUUUUCUGUUAUGUGUGACCAAAUCUAAUUUUAACUAACCCAGAAAUCUGCUCUCUGUUGUCCUCUAACUGAAUGUCAAUGGCUUCCCAUCUAUAGUUACUUACAUGAAGUAUGAUGACAGAUUUUAUAUUAUGAAAAGAGCAAGAACAAUGUCGUUUUAAACUUCCUUUGAUU
rnacentral:lncRNA from 1 species